rnacentral:rRNA from 1 species
CCUACGGGAGGCAGCAGUGAGGAAUAUUGGUCAAUGGACGAGACUCUGAACCAGCCACGUAGCGUGAAGGAUGACUUCCCUAUGGGUUGUAAACUUCUUUUAUAUGGGAAUAAAAUGUUCCACGUGUGGGAUUUUGUAUGUAGCAUAUGAAUAAGGAUCGGCUAACUCCGUGCCAGCAGCCGCGGUAAUACGGAGGAUCCGAGCGUUAUCCGGAUUGAGUGGGUUUAAAGGGAGCGUAGGUGGAUUGUUAAGUCAGUUGUGAAAGUUUGCGGCUCAACCGUAAAAUUGCAGUUGAAACUGGCAGUCUGGAGUACAGUAGAGGUGGGUGGAAUUCGUGGUGUAGCGGUGAAAUGCUUAGAUAUCACGAAGAACUCCGAUUGCGAAGGCAGUUCACUGGACUGCAACUGACACUGAGGCUCGAAAGUGUGGGUAUCAAACAGGAUUAGAUACCCUAGUAGUC